UAGGGAAUCUUCCGCAAUGGACGCAAGUCUGACGGAGCAACGCCGCGUGAGUGAAGAAGGAUUUCGGUUCGUAAAACUCUGUUGUUAGAGAAGAACAGCGCAUAGAGUAACUGUUAUGCGUGUGACGGUAUCUAACCAGAAAGCCACGGCUAACUACGUGCCAGCAGCCGCGGUAAUACGUAGGUGGCAAGCGUUAUCCGGAAUUAUUGGGCGUAAAGCGCGCGUAGGCGGUUUUUUAAGUCUGAUGUGAAAGCCCACGGCUCAACCGUGGAGGGUCAUUGGAAACUGGAAAACUUGAGUGCAGAAGAGGAAAGUGGAAUUCCAUGUGUAGCGGUGAAAUGCGCAGAGAUAUGGAGGAACACCAGUGGCGAAGGCGACUCUCUGGUCUGUAACUGACGCUGAGGCUCGAAAGCGUGGGUAGCAAACAGG
rnacentral:rRNA from 1 species